CUCAUCUAGCUGACAUAGACAAGAAAAGUCAGACUUGACCUUUUCUUCAAUGCUUCCCCAAAUUCCAAAUUAUUUUCUGCCUGAGGGAAGGAAAAGCAUUGCCUCCUGCCAGAGACAGCCAAGAUGCUGCAGAAGCAACAGCUGGCCAGAAGUGAUUUUCUGUGAUUUUCCCUUCCUGUGGAGCAUGCCAGUCAUAGAAAUGGAGCAUUAUGUUUCUAGGGAUGCUUGCUCUUGGAAGUUGGCCACCAUGCUGUAAGGAAGUCCAGGCCACAUGGAGAAGCCAUGUAUAGAUGUUCGAGCCAACAAUCCCAGCUGAGGUCCUAACCAAAAGCCGUCAUCAACCACCAGAUACAUAAGUGAGACCUUGAGAUGACUCUAGCCUAAGCAGUAUCAGACUGAAACUACAAGAGAGAUUUGAGCAAGAAGCACCAAGUUGAGCCCAGUCCACCUCCAGAACCUUAACAGAUAAUAAUAUAUUGUUAUUUUACAUCACUAAGUUUAGAGUGUUUUGUUACACUGAAAUAGAUAACUGAUACAUAGUUGGAUAGUACAUUGUAAUUUAUAAAGCACUUUUACUUUCAUUCUCAUAACUCUCACAAUCUUGUGGAUGUAGAUAAGAAGAUUCUUUAUGCAGAGGAAAAAGCUGGAGCUCUGAGAGUUAGGAAUCUGGGAUUAUAAAUAUGAGAGAACUGGCCUAUAUCCUAUUUCAGGUACUAUUAAUAGCUACAUGCUCUUAGACAGUUUACUUAAAUUUUGAAAGACUGUUUCUUUAUCUGUAAAAUGGGUAUAAUGUUACCAACCUUACAGGGCUGAGCAAUGGGUUGUCUAAUGCAUGUGAAGUCAUUAGCACCACCUCAUCUCAAUAAAUGUUUCUGGUUUGGGGGCCCAAUACCUUGGAGGUAGUCUUGACUCCUUUUUUUAUCCCUCACAUUAAACCCUCAGCAUAUUGUAGCAGCUCCAGCUUCAGAAUACAUGAAGAACCCCAUGACUUCUCCCAAUCUCCA
rnacentral:lncRNA from 10 species